AUAUACAUCCCUUUAGAAAGAAAACAAUAAUGAAACCCCAUAAAAUCAGUCGGUUACAAACAUUUCAUAGGACUUACUAGCAGCCCUGGCAACAGAAGAUCUAAGCAAGCAAAAUACACAAAGCUAGGCUAAUUUGAGAUGAACUGUCUGAAUUAUAGUACCAAGAAGGAGUCUGUUGUCAAAUGGAGCCCAUUGAAUAUCUCAGUUUAAGUUGGAGGAAUCAAGGGCAAGACUUGCACACCACUAUACUCUCUCUGUUACAAAACUCUCUGCUUUCAAAGCCAGUUACAUAAACCUGAGUCUGAAUGAUUCUCCUCCCAAUCUUGAACACAGGUAUACUAUUAAAUCCAACCUUUGGC
rnacentral:lncRNA from 1 species